GCCUAUACAUGCAGUCGAGCGGACAGAUGGGAGCUUGCUCCCUGAUGUUAGCGGCGGACGGGUGAGUAACACGUGGGUAACCUGCCUGUAAGACUGGGAUAACUCCGGGAAACCGGGGCUAAUACCGGAUGGUUGUUUGAACCGCAUGGUUCAAACAUAAAAGGUGGCUUCGGCUACCACUUACAGAUGGACCCGCGGCGCAUUAGCUAGUUGGUGAGGUAACGGCUCACCAAGGCAACGAUGCGUAGCCGACCUGAGAGGGUGAUCGGCCACACUGGGACUGAGACACGGCCCAGACUCCUACGGGAGGCAGCAGUAGGGAAUCUUCCGCAAUGGACGAAAGUCUGACGGAGCAACGCCGCGUGAGUGAUGAAGGUUUUCGGAUCGUAAAGCUCUGUUGUUAGGGAAGAACAAGUACCGUUCGAAUAGGGCGGUACCUUGACGGUACCUAACCAGAAAGCCACGGCUAACUACGUGCCAGCAGCCGCGGUAAUACGUAGGUGGCAAGCGUUGUCCGGAAUUAUUGGGCGUAAAGGGCUCGCAGGCGGUUUCUUAAGUCUGAUGUGAAAGCCCCCGGCUCAACCGGGGAGGGUCAUUGGAAACUGGGGAACUUGAGUGCAGAAGAGGAGAGUGGAAUUCCACGUGUAGCGGUGAAAUGCGUAGAGAUGUGGAGGAACACCAGUGGCGAAGGCGACUCUCUGGUCUGUAACUGACGCUGAGGAGCGAAAGCGUGGGGAGCGAACAGGAUUAGAUACCCUGGUAGUCCACGCCGUAAACGAUGAGUGCUAAGUGUUA
rnacentral:rRNA from 1 species